UGGGGAAUAUUGGGCAAUGGACGCAAGUCUGACCCAGCAACGCCGCGUGAAGGAAGAAGGCUUUCGGGUUGUAAACUUCUUUUAAGGGGGAAGAGCAGAAGACGGUACCCCUUGAAUAAGCCACGGCUAACUACGUGCCAGCAGCCGCGGUAAUACGUAGGUGGCAAGCGUUGUCCGGAUUUACUGGGUGUAAAGGGCGUGCAGCCGGAGAGACAAGUCAGAUGUGAAAUCCACAGGCUCAACCUGUGAACUGCAUUUGAAACUGUUUCCCUUGAGUAUCGGAGAGGUCAUCGGAAUUCCUAGUGUAGCGGUGAAAUGCGUAGAUAUUAGGAAGAACACCAGUGGCGAAGGCGGAUGACUGGACGACAACUGACGGUGAGGCGCGAAAGCGUGGGGAGCA
rnacentral:rRNA from 1 species